rnacentral:rRNA from 1 species
UCGAGAAUCAUUCACAAUGGGGGAAACCCUGAUGGUGCGACGCCGCGUGGGGGAAUGAAGGUCUUCGGAUUGUAAACCCCUGUCAUGUGGGAGCAAAUUAAAAAGAUAGUACCACAAGAGGAAGAGACGGCUAACUCUGUGCCAGCAGCCGCGGUAAUACAGAGGUCUCAAGCGUUGUUCGGAAUCACUGGGCGUAAAGCGUGCGUAGGCGGUUUCGUAAGUCGUGUGUGAAAGGCGGGGGCUCAACCCCCGGACUGCACAUGAUACUGCGAGACUAGAGUAAUGGAGGGGGAACCGGAAUUCUCGGUGUAGCAGUGAAAUGCGUAGAUAUCGAGAGGAACACUCGUGGCGAAGGCGGGUUCCUGGACAUUAACUGACGCUGAGCCACGAAGGCCAGGGGAGCGAAAGGG